rnacentral:rRNA from 1 species
GGGUGAGUAAUGCUUGGGAAUCUGGCUUAUGGAGGGGGAUAACUACGGGAAACUGUAGCUAAUACCGCGUAGUAUCGAGAGAUGAAAGUGCGGGACCGUAAGGCCGCAUGCCAUGAGAUGAGCCCAAGUGGGAUUAGGUAGUUGGUGGGGUAAAGGCCCACCAAGCCUGCGAUCUCUAGCUGGUCUGAGAGGAUGGCCAGCCACACUGGAACUGAGACACGGUCCAG